rnacentral:rRNA from 1 species
GGCCAGCAGCCGCGGUAAUACGUAGGGGGCAAGCGUUAUCCGGAUUCAUUGGGCGUAAAGAGCGCGUAGGCGGUUUGUUAAGCGAGAUGUGAAAACAGGGGGCUCAACCCGCUGCCUGCAUCUCGAACUGGCAGACUUGAGUCUGGUAGAGGAAAGUGGAAUUCCUAGUGUAGCGGUGAAAUGCGCAGAUAUUAGGAGGAACACCAGUGGCGAAGGCGGCUUUCUGGGCCACGACUGACGCUGAGGCGCGAAAGCUAGGGGAGCAAACAGGAUUAGAUACCCUGGUAGUCCUAGCAGUAAACGAUGGGCACUAGGUGUGGGGGGUCAUCAACUCCCUCCGUGCCGCAGCUAACGCAUUAAGUGCCCCGCCUGGGGAGUACGAUCGCAAGAUUAAAACUCAAAGGAAUUGACGGGGGCCCGCACAAGC